rnacentral:sRNA from 1 species
UGGGAAUGAGAAAUUAAGAUUUCCUAUGUUUUGUAAGUCCAGGCAUAGGAAAUGAUUUCUUGUCACAUUAGAAAAAAUGGGGAAAAUGAAACCCUCCACCCCCAAUUUUGUGUGUGUGUGUGUGUGUGUGUGUGUGUGUGUGUGUGUGUGUGGAGAAAAGAUGGUAUUUCAUUCAA